UAACCUUAUAAACAAACAGUUGUUUAUUUAGAGUUAUUUAUUAUUGUUUUCUCAUAUUUUGCAAUUGUUAAGUUGGUUUACUUCGAAUUUAAUAUGCAUUACUGUGGUAUUUCUCCAGUUUUCUAAGAAGGUUGGUGAUUUUGAAUUGGGAUUAUGAUGAAUUUAACCCAAAGGCAAUGUGUGUUUAUUUAUGUGGCAAAAUUCCAGGCACCAUAAAAAUUUGAGUUUCUUCCUGUUGCCCAUGGAUGAAAAUCGGUUUGCAGAAUGAAAAGAAAUUGUUCAAUGUGAUAAACUUUCUAUGAACAGUCCUCAAUAUUGUUACAUUAACUUUUAAAUAUGCACUUUACAUCUUGAGGAGCAGGCCUUUGCAGAAAUACUGAAAAGCGGGUUGCAAAACAACGCAAAAUAAAAUAAACGAAAUAUGUCUUGAGAUUAAACAUUCAAGUUGAAGGUGUGUUCUUUCUUAAACUGGAAUGAUAAUUUUGUAAUUCUGUAGGCACAUCUAUUGAGAAGUUACAACCAGUGGCAAAGUGCCUUAAGGGAAUCUAUGACACAUAUAACUGAAGGUAUCAGCAUUGGCUCUACAGCCCAUGGUGGGUCUUGGCCUGUUCCAGAAUCAGCUUCCACUCUUUCCUAUCCUUUGCUUGGCUUUCCAAUUUCUCACUCGAGCAUGAAUUUUUGGUAUAUAUGGGAUUAUAUUGUGAUAACGACCAGAUCUAUGAAAGAAUAGUAUGUUGUUAAAGAAGAUUGUGGUGACACUAUUCAUGAAUAUCUAAUAAUAUUGGUUAAUGUGAAUGGAGUCCAAAAUGGGGUUUAGGCUGUUAUAUAAAAAACUAGGUCAUUAGCAUAUGGAAGUAGGGUGACAUUAUCUGGUAUUAAAUUAUGUGA